ACGAACGCUGGCGGCGUGCUUAACACCUUCCAGUCGGACGGAAAGGCCCUGCUUUUGUGGGGUGCUCGAGUGGCGACCGGGUGAGUAACACGUGAGUAACCUGCCCUUGAUUUUGGUAUAACUUCAUGAAACUGGGGCUACUACCGGCUAGGAGCUCCUGCUGCAUGGUGGUGGAUGGAAAGUUUCGGCUGUUGGGGAUGGACUCGCGGCUUAUCAGCUUGCUGGUGGGGUAGUGGCUUACCAAGGCUUUGACGGGUAGCCGGCCUGAGAGGGUGACCGGCCACAUUGGGACUGAGGUACGGCCCAGACUCCUACGGGAGGCAGCAGGGGAGAGUAUGACACAAUGGGCGGGAGCGUGAGGCAGCGACGCCGCGUGCGGGAUGACGGGCUUCGGGGGGUAAACCGCUUUCGCCUGUGCCGAAGCGUGAGUGACGGUAAUGGGUAAAGAAGCACCGGCUAACUACGUG
rnacentral:rRNA from 1 species